CGGGCGGCCGUGAUCCUGCUGGAGUGCGGGGGGGACCUCCAGCCCCCCGGGGGGUCCCUGACUCUGCUCUGCCGCGGGAAUGGAUUCGAUUUCGGGAGUUUUGACAUGGGUUGGAUCCGCCAAAGACCAGGAAAGGCGCUGGAAUGGGUCACACAGAUCAAGAGCGAUAGCGGUUACACCUACUACGCAUCAUCAGUCAAGGGCCGGUUCACGAUCACCCGGGACAACGGGCAGAGCUCGGUGACACUGACCAUGAACAACCUCAAGGACGAGGAUUCCGCUGUUUAUUUCUGCGCCAAAUAUUCUGGUAGUGGUUGGGGUGGUGGUCGUGCUCACGCCUUCCUGGGGCUCUGGCGGAUCCAGAACAUUCCAUAA